rnacentral:rRNA from 1 species
UACGUAGGGGGCAAGCGUUGUCCGGAUUUAUUGGGCGUAAAGAGCGUGUAGGCGGCCAGGUAGGUCCGUUGUGAAAACUCGAGGCUCAACCUCGAGACGCCGAUGGAAACCCCCUGGCUAGAGUCCGGAAGAGGAGAAUGGAAUUCCUGGUGUAGCGGUGAAAUUCGUAGAUAUUAGGAAGAACACCAGUGGCGAAGGCGGCUCACUGGUCCGGUACUGACGCUGAGGUGCGAAAGCGUGGGGAGCAAACAGG